rnacentral:lncRNA from 1 species
UUUACACCAAUAUGGCAAUAAUCGAUCGUCUUAUUAAAAAAGUGGUUAUGUCACAUAACAUAACAGCCACAAACUAUUGCCAUAUUGCAUGCUAGGUCACUCAUCAUGUACUUGUAGUCUUAUACAAACCGAACAUUGAACUUCAUAUUUUGUUCCGCUUUAAGCUUUUGAACAGGUAAACCCAUCUGAGAAGGCAUCCUAUGUGGCAAAUAGUGUCCACUCUAUGUCCAUGUGGUGCUGACAUGGUAUCCAACAUGGACUUUUUAAUUUAAAUUCUAUUAGAACUUACAACUAAUACCAUAAAUAUAAAUACACCCAUUCCCAUAAUACAAUAACGGAAACAGAGAAGAUGGACAUCAGACCAAAUGUGGAUUUUAUGCAUCUCCACCCAAGAUCUGGAUGUGAAAGGGGAGUGAAAAGUUAUGACAGAAAAUUGGUCAUUCAAACAGAAAAGUUCUAUAAAGAGGAAGAGAUGAACAUUUUGUUAAUGAUUUUAGUCUUCAGGCGUUGAACUAUUAUACCCCUUUUAACAACUGAGAUAUAUUUGGCCUACAGUUGAAAGUGAAAAUGAAAUUUGACUUCCUUAUUUGGUAAAACCAGUUCCUUACUUGAUUAUAAAUUUACGCCAUAGGCCCUGAAACAUUGAUUUUUAGGUAAGUGCCCUAUAAUAUAUAUUGGUUAAAAUUAAAAGUUAAAAGUACAUCCUUUUUACAUGCAAUUUGUCCUAGUCAAAAAUACAUAUCUAUAAUGACUCAUGAAUACAAGUAUCAUACCCGAAAAGUUGUUUUAUGAAGAUUAUCAACUCAAACCAGUAGAAUUAUUAUGGUUAUAACUUAUAAGUGAAAUUAAGGGACUAUGAUAUAUAACAGAGGUAUGGCAUCCAAGCAUAAUGACUGCAGAUGGAAGAAAAAUAAUGGUACAUAUGUUAUACCUUAUUGAUGGCAUAAGUAUUCAGUGAAGUUUGCUGCCUAACAGAAGGUAAAGAUUUUGAUGACUCCAACAAUUUCGUUUGAGGAAGAUUACUCCACCCAUUUGAUUGAUAUGUAUGUUUUCUGGAUAACU